UACGUAGGGUGCAAGCGUUGUCCGGAAUUAUUGGGCGUAAAGAGCUCGUAGGCGGUCUGUCACGUCGGCUGUGAAAUCCCGAGGCUCAACCUCGGGUCUGCAGUCGAUACGGGCAAACUAGAGUAUUGCGAGGGGAGACUGGAAUUCCUGGUGUAGCGGUGGAAUGCGCAGAUAUCAGGAGGAACACCGGUGGCGAAGGCGGGUCUCUGGGCAGUAACUGACGCUGGAGGAGCGAAAGCGUGGGGAGCGAACAGG
rnacentral:rRNA from 1 species